rnacentral:rRNA from 1 species
UACACUCCUACGGGAGGCAGCAGUGGGGAAUAUUGCACAAUGGGCGCAAGCCUGAUGCAGCCAUGCCGCGUGUAUGAAGAAGGCCUUCGGGUUGUAAAGUACUUUCAGCGGGGAGGAAGGCAAUACGGUUAAUAACCGUGUUGAUUGACGUUACCCGCAGAAGAAGCACCGGAUAACUCCGUGCCAGCAGCCGCGGUAAUACGGAGGGUGCAAGCGUUAAUCGGAAUUACUGGGCGUAAAGCGCACGCAGGCGGUCUGUCAAGUCGGAUGUGAAAUCCCCGGGCUCAACCUGGGAACUGCAUUCGAAACUGGCAGGCUUGAGUCUUGUAGAGGGGGGUAGAAUUCCAGGUGUAGCGGUGAAAUGCGUAGAGAUCUGGAGGAAUACCGGUGGCGAAGGCGGCCCCCUGGACAAAGACUGACGCUCAGGUGCGAAAGCGUGGGGAGCAAACAGGAUUAGAUACCCCGGUAGUCCC